GCCGGGCGAGGUGGCGGGCGCCUGUAGUCCCAGCUACUCAGGAGGCUGAGGCAGGAGAAUGGCUUGAACCCAGGAGUUUGAGGCUGUAGUGAGCUCUGAUUGUGCCACUGCACUCCCGCCUGGGUGACAGUGUGAGACCCUGUCUCAA
rnacentral:SRP_RNA from 1 species